rnacentral:rRNA from 1 species
UAGAGUUCUGGGCCGCACGCGCGCUACACUGACUGAAGCCAGCGAGUACUCCCUUGGCCGGAAGGCCCGGGUAAUCUUGUUAAACUCAGUCGUGCUGGGGAUAGAGCAUUGCAAUUAUUGCUCUUCAACGAGGAAUCCCUAGUAAGCGCAAGUCAUCAGCUUGCGUUGAUUACGUCCCUGCCCUUUGUACACACCGCCCGUCGCUACUACCGAUUGAAUGGCUCAGUGAGGCGUCCGGACUGGCCCAGAGAGGUGGGCAACUACCACUCAGGGCCGGAAAGCUCUCCAAACUCGGUCAUUUAGAGGAAGUAAAAGUCGUAACAAGGUCUCCGUUGGUGAACCAGCGGAGGGAUCAUUACCGAGUUAUCAACUCCCAAACCCCUGUGAACAUACCUUUUGUUGCCUCGGCGGGAUCGCCCCGGCGCCUUCGGGCCCGGAUCCAGGCGCCCGCCGCAGGACCCUAAACUCUUGUUUUCUAUAUGAAUCUUCUGAGUGACACAAGCAAAUAAAUUAAAACUUUCAACAACGGAUCUCUUGGUUCUGGCAUCGAUGAAGAACGCAGCGAAAUGCGAUAAGUAAUGUGAAUUGCAGAAUUCAGUGAAUCAUCGAAUCUUUGAACGCACAUUGCGCCCGGCAGUAUUCUGCCGGGCAUGCCUGUUCGAGCGUCAUUUCAACCCUCAAGCCCCCGGGCUUGGUGUUGGAGAUCGGCCCGCCCCUGUGGCAGGCCGGCUCCGAAAUCUAAUGGCGGUCCCGCUGUAACUUCCUCUGCGUAGUAGCAAUAUCUCGCACCGGAAAAGCGACGGAACCUUGCCGUAAAACACCCAACUUCUGAAAGGUUGACCUCGGAUCAGGGAAGGAAUACCCCCUGAACUUAAGCAUAUCAUAAGCCGGAGGAAAAAAAACCACGGGGAUGGCCUAAUAACGGCGAGGGAACGGCAC